rnacentral:rRNA from 1 species
CCUCCGGGUGGCAGCAGUGAGGCAUAUUGGUCAAUGGACGAGAGUCUGAUCCAGCAAAGUAGCGUGAAGGAUGACUGCCCUGUGGUUUGUAAACUUCUUCUAUCUGGGAAUUAAUUGUUCCACGUGUGGGGUUUUGUCUGUCCAAUAUGCAUUCGGAUAGGCUAACUCCGUGCCAGCGGCCGCGGGAAUAUGGAUGAUCCGAGCGUUAUCCGGAUUUAUUUUGUUUAAAGUGUGCGUAGGUGGAUUGUUAAGUAAGUUGUGAAAGUUUGGGGCUAAACCAUAAAAUUGCAGUUGAAACUGGCAGUCGUGAGUAUAGUAGAGGUGGGCGGAAUGCGUGGUGUAGCGGUGAAAUGCUGAGAUAUGACGAAGAACUCCGAUUGCGAAGGCAGCUAACUAAACUGCAACUGACACUGAGGUUCGAAAGUGUGGGUAUCAAACAGGAUUAGAUACCCUAGUAGUC